CCUACGGGUGGCAGCAGUGGGGAAUAUUGGGCAAUGGGCGCAAGCCUGACCCAGCAACGCCGCGUGAAGGAAGAAGGCUUUCGGGUUGUAAACUUCUUUUCUCAGGGACGAAGAAAGUGACGGUACCUGAGGAAUAAGCCACGGCUAACUACGUGCCAGCAGCCGCGGUAAUACGUAGGUGGCAAGCGUUAUCCGGAAUGAUUGGGCGUAAAGGGUGCGCAGGCGGUCCUGCAAGUCUGGAGUGAAACGCAUGAGCUCAACUCAUGCAUGGCUUUGGAAACUGGAGGACUGGAGAGCAGGAGAGGGCGGUGGAACUCCAUGUGUAGCGGUAAAAUGCGUAGAUAUAUGGAAGAACACCAGUGGCGAAGGCGGCCGCCUGGCCUGUUGCUGACGCUGAGGCACGAAAGCGUGGGGAGCAAAUAGGAUUAGAUACCCUAGUAGUC
rnacentral:rRNA from 1 species